rnacentral:misc_RNA from 1 species
ACUCAAUUGCCUUUUUCAUCGGAGUUUUACUAUUGCUGCUACUAUCAUACACUCCAAUUGCAAUACGGAAAAGUAGCGGUACCGGAAAAUGUGUUCCACUAAACAAAAACAGAAGCAGAACCUCCACAAUCAGCGCUCCGUCGUGCCUACCUCUACCUCCGCCUCAGGCGGUGACGGUGGCGGUGGUGGGGACUGGAGGGAAGAAUCCAUAACCGGCGGAUCACUUAAGCAUGUGGAUUUGGACAAGGGCAAAAACGGUUGGGCAUCACCACCGGGAGACCUAUUCAAUCUGCGAGGGCCACACUACUUGACGAAAAAGGCGAAAGUACCUUCUGGCGCGUGGCUUCUACAGCCUGCCGGAGUGGAUUGGCUCCGAUCUAACUCCAAGCUCGACCACGUCCUGGCUCGACACGACAACCGUGUGAUGAACGCGCUGAAGAAAUCUCACUCUGAAGGAAAGUCUCUGAAAACCUUCAUAGUCGCCGUGAAUCUCCAAGUCCCAGGGCGUGACCAACACAGCGCUGUUUUCUACUUCGCUACAAACGACGAUGAGCCGCUCGAACCGGGUUCUCUCCUCUAUCGGUUCGUCAACGGCGAUGAUGCGUAUCGUAACAGCAGAUUUAAGAUCGUUAACCGGAUCGUGAAAGGACCGUG